rnacentral:miRNA from 1 species
UUUUGAUGAUGGUGGUGUGGUUAUUAGUGAUCUUAGUAAGGGAAAAUUAAGCUCAGGUAUGGAGAAGGUCUCUUCAAAGGGAGAACUUAGUGUCUGAUUUUUAUGAGUAUUUUCCAUUACUAAGAUCACUAAUAACCACACCACCAUCA